CCUACGGGAGGCUGCAGUAGGGAAUAUUGCUCAAUGGGGGAAACCCUGAAGCAGCAACGCCGCGUGGAGGAUGAAGGUUUUAGGAUUGUAAACUCCUUUUGUGAGAGAAGAUAAUGACGGUAUCUCACGAAUAAGCACCGGCUAACUCCGUGCCAGCAGCGGCGGUAAUACGGGGGGUGCAAGCGUUGUCCGGAAUCAUUGGGCGUAAAGAGGUCGUAGGCGGCACGUAAAGUCUGGUGUUAAAGGCAGAGGCUCAACCUCUGUACGGCAGUGGAUACUGGCGAGCUAGAAUGCGGUAGAGGUAAAGGGAAUUCCUGGUGUAGCGGUGAAAUGCUUAGAUAUCAGGAGGAACGUCGAUGGCGUAAGCGCUUUACUGGACCGUAAUUGACGCUGAGGAACGAAAGCGAGGGUAGCAAAUGGGAUUAGAUACCCGUGUAGUC
rnacentral:rRNA from 1 species